UACAGAGGUCUCAACCGUUGUUCGGAUUCAUUGGGCGUAAAGGGCGCGUAGGCGGUCAGCACAAGUCAGUUGUGAAAUCUCCGGGCUUAACUCGGAAAGGUCAACUGAUACUGUGCGGCUAGAGUGCAGAAGGGGCAACUGGAAUUCUCGGUGUAGCGGUGAAAUGCGUAGAUAUCGAGAGGAACACCUGCGGCGAAGGCGGGUUGCUGGGCUGACACUGACGCUGAUGCGCGAAAGCCAGGGGAGCGAACGGG
rnacentral:rRNA from 1 species